UGCAAGUCGAACGCUUCUUUUUCCACCGGAGCUUGCUCCACCGGAAAAAGAGGAGUGGCGAACGGGUGAGUAACACGUGGGUAACCUGCCCAUCAGAAGGGGAUAACACUUGGAAACAGGUGCUAAUACCGUAUAACAAUCGAAACCGCAUGGUUUUGAUUUGAAAGGGGCUUUCGGGUGGCCCUGAUGGAUGGACCCCCGGGGG
rnacentral:rRNA from 1 species